rnacentral:rRNA from 1 species
GAAGAACGCAGCGAAAUGCGAUAAGUAAUGUGAAUUGCAGAAUUCAGUGAAUCAUCGAAUCUUUGAACGCACCUUGCGCUCCUUGGUAUUCCGAGGAGCAUGCCUGUUUGAGUGUCAUUAAAUUCUCAACUCCUCCAGCUUUUGUUAAGUUGGCUUUGGAGCUUGGAUUCUGGAGGUUUGCUGGCCCUUGUAUUGACUGGGUUCAGCUCCUCUGAAAUACAUUAGCGGAACCGUUUGCAAUCCGCCACAGGUGUGAUAAUUAUCUACACCAGUGGGUUGCUCUCUGUGUUCGGCUGCCAAUCGUCUCUGCUUCAAGAGACAAUUUUCUGAAUGCUUGACCUCAAAUCAGGUAGGACUA